AUCGGUUUCCAAGAGUCUGCAAAGAAAGCACACAAAACCCAAAUUCAAGUUCUUCUAAUCAAAGGAUCACACUAUUAAUUGUUUGUUUCAAAAAUUACAUAUAGUUCAUCUUCAAAGAGAGACAAUCUCAUAAACCACAAGGAAGAGAGGAUGAUGUGCUUCUAGAAGCUUCCUUCUAUUCUCAGUCAAGAACUAGACAGAUAUAUCAAAUUCCCUGCAAACAGUACUGCUAUUAGGCUGCAGAAUAUAAACAUGAGAGAAGACUUGCCAGGUGACACAAAGGCAUGAGCCCCUUCUCCCUCAGUUACUCUUUUCCUCCACUGGAAGUUACUACUCUCAUAAGUGAAUCAGCAGAGCAAACAACACACACCAACAAACAAAAACCACCCAACCAAAAAUAGAGCACCUCAACUGCCUCAGCGCAAAGUCCAGUCACACUCACAGAAGCUGGAACUAGUUUGAGUUAAAUUAGCAAUCCCUGCACUGCACUGCAGCACAGGGAUAGCCAUCUCCAGCAGGUAUGAAAGCCCUGCAGAUACCUGCCAAGUCUAAAAAUCUAUUUGGAGCUCAAGUUCUUUGCAGUCAACCUCUCAAAGACUACUGAAACAUAUUUAUCAAACACAACCAAAUUUUGCAAGAGGACAGAUGACUUAGAAGUCCUGCCUCAAAAGUGCAAGUGUGUACGGGUUCUGGAAAUUCAGCAUUAAGAAAUUAUACAGUCCAGUUCCAUUUUUUAGUGACACUGCAAACUUGCAAUCACUGUGCACAUGAAGAGCAACUGAUACACCUAAAAGUUGCACCUUGAAUUGCACACAGUGCAAAAACAUAUGCACUCAUGGAAAGGCUGCCAAGGAAAUGGUUACCUACUAUACAAAAAAAAAAGGCAAGAAGAAAGGACUAAUUAGGAAUUACUACCAGUAGUGUUAACAGCAGAAACGUGGCUGAACGCUGUUCUAUCUCUAUACAGAGAAAGUUAUGUAGUUAAAAGCAAGAACUGGGUAAAAAUAGAAAAAAUAGAGAAAAUGGAAUUUAGAAAUACUUAAGAUUUCAAGAAGCUAAUAGGAAGUAUAGUUUUGACCUUAGAAGGUAAGGUUUAUACACAAGUCUCAUCCCUGAGAUACUCUAUUUUAAAUUGGAUACCGAAAAUCACAGACUCAGCAUAAUUUCUUACUAUUAGAAGCAGCUACAAAUGCUCCUGUAAAAUCAGGAGAGAAAAACACCUCUUAGAGUUCCACAAAAACAGAAGUUGUAAAAACACACCACAAGAAUAUGUUCUUAAACCUUAGGGCCUUGGAAUUGAAGUGCUGUGCCAUAACGUUUUACCUACCCCCCUUUAACAGCCUCUGUGCUGCAAUUGCAAUAAAACAAUUUCAGUCUCACUGCUGUAUUUCAAAGAGCAAAAAGUUUUCCGUUCACCUGUUCUGUUCCUCAAGUUUUGCGAGUAGUUCUAAGUCGUCUGGGCUCAGCUGUGUUGGUGAGGAUGGCGACAGGGCGGGUGUGGACAGA